rnacentral:lncRNA from 1 species
AUGCCAGAGGUUCGGAUCUGGAGACUUCAGGUUCCAAUCUGGUCAGGCAGAGAAAGGGGCUGGCAGGACCUCAAGCUUCUCUUUAGCCUCACACUGACUCCCAGGCACUCCCAGGUUCUCAGAGCAAGUCCCUGCUUCGUUUCUCCAGGUGUAAAAUGUAAAAGAGAUUCUCCUUUUAAUCAUUCUGAGAAGGCCUACGACUGUCUCAUCCACUCGGUGAGAUUACUAAGGAGUGGUGAAGGUUUGAAAAGUCUCCUGGUCUCUAUCCUGCGUUCCUGGGCUCAAGUCCUUUCAAGCCAGUUCUGGAAUCCUCUGGGUGGAGGAGCGCACAAGGAUUCCUGUGUGUCAGCCUGCAGGAAGACCCAGGAGCACUUUCUUUUCACAAGUCUCCCCAGGGUUUCAAAAUACUUGGAUGCCACAAGAAGUAGCUCACCACAGCCGUUUUUUAGGCUUCUCAGCACCUACAGAGGUAAAAAACUGUCACCAGGUGUUAGAAAAGAUGUAUCAGCCACCAGAAAAGAGCACCAACUGGGGAUGAGUCCCCCACUUCUAACCUCAGCUGGAUUUUUGGCCUGGCCCAAUAUGUUUUUGUCAGGGAGCUCUUCAGAAUUCUCAUUACAAGGUUUCCUCAGAAGCCCACAUUUUGGGACAUUGAAAGCUCCUGGGAAAAUAUGUAAAUGUUUCAGGUUCUUCUAGAAUGGAGAAAAGACAGAAUCCCUUGCCUGUUUGUAUCACAACCAACAACUUAAUCAAAAGUGAGCCAGCCGGUGCAAGGGGCAUGAAGCUGCAGACGAUACUAAAUGUUUGGAAAUAACAGUAGGCAGGAUGCCCGGCCUUGUGAAUGGGCCCCCAGCACCAGUGUCAGGAGACCUGGGUCAUCUCAUCUGACUCACUGCCUGUUGGGGAUGAUUCAUACUCCCUUUCCGUGUGUUUGGGCCUCACUUCCUUCAUCUCCCCUAUAAAAUGGGCGUGUUUAUUAUUCCUACCCCACAGGAGGGGCAAGAGGCUUUAAGAGUCCUUGAUAAUUACACAAAAAUAUUAUUAAAGUAAAAAUAAGUUGCAAGCAUGUUUUCCUUCUUGAUUUCUGGCAGGGCACAGAUGGAGGGGGAGGUGCAGGAGGCUCCCUUAGGCUGCAGCCCUGGCUUCCGGAUGGACGCCUGGUUCACUGGCAGCAGCACCCUAGGAACUGGAAACCGGCAUGGGGGUCAGUCUGCACGUGGAGGUGGGAGUGAAGCUGAUCUGCUUGAGUGGGAACAAGAAUCUGAGGAGGUGAGGUCAAGAAGAGAGACAGGGACAGGGGGCAGAGUGUGGAGGAGUUCUGUGUUAGGCUGUGUCAGCAAGAUGAUGCUGAGGGUUAUGGGAUAUCAACACCAGUCAUUGAACUUGGCUGUGGCAAGCUCUGUAGUGUGUUUCAGUGAGCCCCUGGCUACUGGAUAUAGGGCAGCCAUCAGUUGGGGACUGUCACCCGAAGAAACUUUGCUCCAUCUGAACUUCAUUUAUACUCCUUUUGACUACAAGGGAUCGUUCCCUGUAGUUCUACCAUGCCGUUGUUAUGCAGUGAAGACCACAGGGAAACUAUGUGUGAGGUACUUUGAUGGAGGAAGAGGUAAGGUACAAAACCAACUCCAGAACCUGUACUUUCGGGAGAAAGCUUGACCUAGCUCAAGAUCUUAGGCAGGUCUACAAGAGUCGCUGGAUGCCUGGAACACAAGAUCUUUAUCUAGGCCAAGGCACAGAACAUCAGCACUUCUGGGCCUGGCCACUGACCUCUCUGUAGACUUGUCUGUGGUCUACUCCUAGUCCCUCCGAGACACUUACAUUGGAAAAGACUGCUGUGCCUCCAUUCUAACCAGCCAUUCUUUAGCUCUGUAUCCCACAUUAGAGUCCCAGGAAGUUUUAUAGUUACAUGGCUUGAGAGCCUCUGAACUGUGCUUGGAAGUCCAACUUGGUAUGUUCUAAAGUUUCUUGUGAGAUCCUACGUAGGAGGUUGUAACAGUGCUGUCAGAAUAGCAUCUCUUAAGUUACCUAAGGGCCGUCAGGUCCAGAUUCAUGUAGAAAUGUCACGAAAGUGUUUGAUUUAAACUGGUUUCCUUGAGUGUGAGGAUGAUUGCACUUGCAAACCUGCUUCACAGUUGGCAUCAAAAACAAUUGUGCUUUAGAUUGUACUUGGUCCAGAAGGCUUCCAUACACAAGCAAGAGAACGAGAAGAGGGGAGCUAGACCCAAGUAAGUAUAGCAAGUAAGGAAAUCUAUGCACUUAAGACUUUUGGAUUGAUUGAAACAAACCCAAGAUCUAAAACCAACCGUGGCGCAACAAUGGAUAACAGCUUCCACAGAAAUCAGUAGUGUAUUUUUCCUGUGUUUGAAGAGCUGUGUUUGUAGGAAGCAGCACAUGAAACCAAGGUCAACCAGGCAAAGACAACCUAAGCAGUGCCAUUUAGGUCAUGCAGAUUGAAGGAGGUGACCAGGUAGAGGGUACUUUUAGCCUAUGUUCCAGGUUCAUUCUACCAAUUACUGUAUGACCUUAAGAUCCAUGCAUACUAAUUAUGUGUAGGAAUCAGGCUUUGAAGUUUCUCCUGGUUCCUUCAUUCUGUUGUCCAAUCAGAAAUGUCAACUCUUGAUUGACUGGUGACAUUCUGCCACUCUGUUUUGGAGUCUACAAAAAAGGUAAGGAAUGAUGUCACUUGCCCUUACACUGGUGUUGACCAAAGGGCAGAAAGAGAUUGAGAUGGGAUCUAAUAGAUGUCUGUGAUGAAAGCCCUCAUUUCCAAGUUCAUAUUUGUUCACAUAGUAAUGCCUGGCAAUACCCUUACUCUUCAUUAUAUGUCUUUCCCAAGGAAAAUUUCAAUUUCAAAUCUAACAUGUUAGCCUCAAAACUCAGGACAUAAGAUAUAAGUUGUGUCUCAUAGAUCCUACUGUUGAGCUCACUUAGGCAAGGACAAUGAGACUUCGAAAAGCUUAAAUAUGGGACUUGACCAAAGACAGAGCCAUGCUCACUGUCCCUUUGGACUCCUUUUGAUUUGUAUGCUACAUGUUGGAGCUUGGUCCCUGGGCAUCUUGUGUGUGUGUGUGUGUGUGUGUGUGUGUGUGUGUGUGUGUGUGUGUGUGUGUAUGUAUAUAUAUAUAUGUGUGUGUGUAUUAUGUAUUGCUAGACUAGAACAUUGCUAAGAUUGUUCUUGGGCUCUCACAUGGAUCUCUGACAGUACAUGGAUCUGUAUUACCUAUUCCUGAACCAGUGUUGAUUUUGUGUUGCUAUUUGAACUCUGUCCACAGUAUCUGUCAUUGCCUUUAAGAGAAGGAAAGCUGUUGUGCGCCUGAGGAGAAAGGUAGAAGUAGGCAGCUUCAGCUUGAGCAGAUUGCCUGCCUCUGACACUUUCACCUACCUUGGUAGGUAUUUGCUUGAUUCCCCAUUCUUGGUGACUUUACUGUGCAGCUACCUUGGUGUACUUCUGAAUUUAUUGGUUUUUUGUUGUUUGUUUGUUUGUUUGUUUGCUUGUAAACAAUUAGUUCCCCCACUCCUUCCACCUGAAUAUGGAACUGAAACAUGAGCUCUUCAGAAAAUUUUGUGAAGACUACAAGCAGAAUUUUUCAGGCAAGUCAAGGAGGACCAAUGAACUGUUUUCUAGGUUAGCGUGCAACCAAGAUAACACAAAGUCACCCUCUGGUAAAGGAAGCUGUCGUUGUCCUCCCAGAGUUUUCCAUGGUCAUACCCAAAUCUGCUCCAAGAGCGCCCUCUGCUGGAUGACAUCAGGCCCCAACAGUCUCAGCCAUCUUGGAAGUAGAGCCAACUGGAGUUCCGAGAGGAUAAAAGAGAAGGUUGGAGGGGAAGUGGGGUGGGGGAGGGAGGGGAUAGAAAAAAGGGAGAGAGGGGGAGGGGAGUCUUCUACACUGGGAAACUCUGAGCAACCUCUAUUUAAACACCAUCCUAAAAUAAAAUGCGUUCAAUCCAUGCCGUCGUUAUGCCU